GUACCUGCCUUGUUCUGGCACAGGGACACGUUCUCCUGGCACGGCGGGGCUGCAGAGGAUGAAGAUGAGGAUGAGGAUGAGGACAAGGGCUGUGCUUCGCUCCUGCCCUCCUGGCGAGGUCUGGCCGGGCUCGCCGCCGGGCGCACGGAGCAGCCCAGGGGCUCUGGCUAUAAAUAGUGGCCUUUCUCUGGGCUCUUCCCUCCUCAGGAGGUGCAGAGAGCAAGGUUUUGGCCCUACAAAGCAAAAGGAAGAACCCAGCGGGGAAAUCAGGGAGCUGAGACUGAGGGACCUUCGGAGGGGAGAGCCUGAAGUUGGCACCAGGAGAAAAAUCGUGACCUUUGCAGGAGUCCAGAACCGUCACCGCCCCCCCGGAGCCGUGUUUAUGUGAGAUAAAUCAUGGGGGGCAGCAGUUGGAGAGGUGGCACACAAUUUAUGCAGAGGUCCAGACGUGCUGGGAGGAGAAGAGGCGAAGAAGGCGAGCGCCGGGAACGGGAUGAAAACGCGCCUUGCGUCGGGGAGGACGAGGGGAGGAUGGAUCUGCUGCUCGUGCACUGCGGGCACCUCAGGGAGAAGAAAACCUUGACUGCAGCCUGAAAUUUGGGGCGCAACCGAAGCCGUGGGGGCAGAGCCUCCUCCUUGUCACCUCCGGGAGCUGAGCUGCGUGGAUCCGAGCUGGAGGCAGAGCCCCCAGCCUGCUGCUGGCUGCCAAAAACCUCUUCGGAGACCAGGAUCCAUCCAGGGGCAGUGCCUGGCUUGGGGAGCGUGAUUUCAGCCCCAGAAUUUGGGGCCCUGCAGCCUCGGGGGAAAACAGGAGAGGGCUCCAGGGGUGCUGAGUGAGGCUCUGGAUGUGCUGAGCGAGGCUCCGGAUGCGAUGCUCACAGCUCUGGCACUUUGUGGAAGCUCCUGGUGAUGGGGGGAUCACACAGAGCCACACCACGGCGAGUCCCCCCCUCCCUGCGCAGUGCCGGGCGGCUUUGCGCACAGAUGGCCGGUCUCAAAUUUUGCAACAGCAGCGCCGAGUCCUUGGACCGCCUGUACCCGGCCGUGGGGUCCUCCAAACCUCCCCGAAAGCGCACCACGAGCCAGUGCAAGUCGGAGCCGCCCCUGCUGAGGACCAGCAAGAGAACCAUCUACACGGCGGGCCGGCCGCCCUGGUACAACGAGCACGGCACCCAGUCCAAGGAGGCCUUCGUCAUAGGUAGGCAAAAACAGCCCAAAUUUCUCCGGCAGCAU
rnacentral:lncRNA from 1 species